UCUGGCAAUGAUGACACACUUGCCCUCACUGAGAACAGUGUUCGUUAAUGAGAAUUAAAUCUUGUACUCAUAAAGACCCGAGCCAGA